rnacentral:rRNA from 1 species
GUCUAUGGCCAUGCUACCCUGAACAAGCCCAAUGUCUGAUCUCGGAAGCUAAGCAGGGUCAGGCCUGGUUAGUACUUGGACGGGAGACCACCUAGGAAGACCAGGUGCUGUAGGCA